rnacentral:rRNA from 1 species
ACAGCAGUAGCCACGGGAAUACGGAGGGGGCUAGCGUUGUUCGGAAUUACUGGGCGUAAAGCGCACGUAGGCGGCUUGGUAAGUUAGAGGUGAAAGCCUGGAGCUCAACUCCAGAAUUGCCUUUAAGACUGCCGAGCUAGCAGGUGAGAGAGGUAAGUGGAAUUCCGAGUGUAGAGGUGAAAUUCGUAGAUAUUCGGAAGAACACCAGUGGCGAAGGCGGCUUACUGGCUCAUACUGGACGCUGAGGUGCGAAAGCGUGGGGAGCAAACAGGAUUAGAUACCCCAGUAGUCCCUGUCUCUUAUAA